rnacentral:rRNA from 1 species
UUAAAUUGAAGAGUUUGAUCAUGGCUCAGAUUGAACGCUGGCGGCAGGCCUAACACAUGCAAGUCGAACGGUAACAGGAAGCAGCUUGCUGCUUUGCUGACGAGUGGCGGACGGGUGAGUAAUGUCUGGGAAACUGCCCGAUGGAGGGGGAUAACUACUGGAAACGGUAGCUAAUACCGCAUAACGUCGCAAGACCAAAGAGGGGGACCUUAGGGCCUCUUGCCAUCGGAUGUGCCCAGAUGGGAUUAGCUAGUAGGUGGGGUAACGGCUCACCUAGGCGACGAUCCCUAGCUGGUCUGAGAGGAUGACCAGCCACACUGGAACUGAGACACGGUCCAGACUCCUACGGGAGGCAGCAGUGGGGAAUAUUGCACAAUGGGCGCAAGCCUGAUGCAGCCAUACCGCGUGUA